rnacentral:lncRNA from 1 species
CCUCCCACACCAAAGGUGACAUUAAGACAAAUAGUAAAAUGGGCGGACUAAACAAUCCAUUUUUAUAGAAAGACGAAGGUUUCGGAUCGGAUUGAUUGUCAGAGUGCCAAACAAUGGCAGCAAAUUGGUUUCGAAGAAGAAAAUGAAGAUGAAGAUGGAAGAUGGAAAAUGCGAAGCAUACGUGCAUUUAUAGGGGGUGGAGAUGAAGAGACAGAAUAUGAGCAGCCACAUUCUGCCUAGUAAAUGGAAUUAAAUAGCCCAAAGUCUUGGGAAAAGUGGUGGAAAUAUCAAAAGAAAAUGGGCAAGAUUUUUAGCACAAAGCAGUUAAAUGCUUGAAGAAUUGACGACUAAAAAACAAACGUCAAAUAAAUGCACAAGAAGUUAAUAUAUAUGUUCAUUAAUGAUGAACAAAGUUACAAAGGGAAAAUCAAAUUACAAAAGAAAAAGGCAUCAUAUGUCUUAAUUACAGUUCACCCCACACUGAACGAAUUCGUUCCCUAAGUUUUUCCUAAUCCUUGUUCUGCCGAGAGGAAAUGAUGUUCAAUUCGGUCACGACAUCAUCAUCAACUUCCAACUUCUUGUACUGCUCAACCAAGGACUUAGUUCGCUCAAUUCCCUGGGAGGCGUUGCGCUUUUUAGCAGCCAUUCUCGCCUUGCAGUCGUCCAUUUUUGCUUGAAGUUCCUUCAUCUGGGCAGCCAAAUUAACCAUCAAAGAGUCUUCAAUCAUAACUUCGGAAGAGAUUUCUUUAAACUCGUCCUCAGCCUUGUUGAUCUCCAUACGCAAAGACUCUUUCUCAGAUACGGCUCCAAGAUAUUGAGUACUUUUGGCCUUUAGUUCAGCAUUUUUGGCCAGUAAAGAAAGGACCUCGGAAUGGAUAACCUUCAACGUCGCUUUAAAAUCGGCAGAAAGAUUGAGCGACGGAAGCGUCAGUGCUUGCUCCAACUUCGCAUUCAAAUGCUCAAGUUUAUCCUUGUGUCUGGCAGCACUAGCCCUACCAAUGUCCAUAUCCAUGAAGAACACGUACUCAAAUAUCGACUGCUUGAGGAACUUCAAAUCUUCCUCUGAAGAAAUAAUAGGACGAUCAGAUGGAGCAGGGCGAGACGUCUUGACUUGCCCCAGGAAGCGAUCAAGUCUUGGAUAUAACGCACAAUCUUGUCAAUAUCCUGCAAAGAAAAUUGCCAAUAUUAAAGAUUCUCACUGCAACGAACAAGAUAGAAAUAAAAGUGAAGCAAAGAUUAUGUCAUCAACAAUCGUGAAAGAUGGCAUGUCCUCAGCCAAGUCUGCCACCAAUGACUCCUCCAUUCGUGUGGACUUCCCCUUGUCUGAGCGAGAAGAUGUUGCCACAAUGGGCAGACUCAUAGGAGUAUCUGCAAAACUCAAGAGCAACAAAUCAGAAACCAAUAGCACAAGUAAAGGUAAGGCAUCAAAAAACUGAAUUACCUUCUGCUUCGAUGUUUGGGGGGUUGACGCCCUGGGAAGAAGGUGGCUCAUCCAUGGGUUGUGAUGAGGAUUCUGGGAUUGAAGAUGUCUCUUUAAGCGUAGUCCCCUCAUCAACCGAUUUGGAUGAAGCAGCCUCAGCCGAGGAUGAUGGAGCAGGAGCUGUCGAUGCCAAAGCCUUUGAAGGAGAGGCUGAACUUUUC